rnacentral:misc_RNA from 1 species
GUGAAUCAUCGAAUUUUUGAACGCAAAUUGCGCUUCCUGGCAUCCCGGGAAGUAUGCCUGUUUGAGGGUCAGUAUUAAUAAAAAAUCGGUUUAGUUACAAAUUGUGACGUUUCCGGAGUUUGGGCUAUCUUAACAUUUUUGGUUAAGAGGCUUAAAAUGAACUUUUUGGGGAUUUUUAAGCGGACAUUAAUUUUUUUUUUUUGUUCUAUUCUUAUGCCCAAAUUCUAAU